rnacentral:rRNA from 1 species
UACGGAGGGGGCUAGCGUUGUUCGGAAUUACUGGGCGUAAAGGGCGCGUAGGCGGCCUUCUAAGUCGAACGUGAAAUCCCCGGGCUCAACCCGGGAACUGCGUCCGAGACUGAAAGGCUCGAAUCCGGGAGAGGGAUGUGGAAUUCCAGGUGUAGCGGUGAAAUGCGUAGAUAUCUGGAGGAACAUCGGUGGCGAAGGCGGCAUCCUGGACCGGUAUUGACGCUGAGGCGCGAAAGCCAGGGGAGCAAACGGG